GACGAACGCUGGCGGCGUGCUUCACACAUGCAAGUCGAACGGAGGGUACCGCAAGGUAUCCUUAGUGGCGGACGGGUGAGUAACGCGUGAAGGACCUGUCUCAUACAGGGGGAUAACACUGUGAAAACAGUGCUAAUACCGCAUAGGACCACGGAGCCGCAUGGCUCUGGGGUGAAAGGAGCAAUCCGGUAUGAGGUGGCUUCGCGUCCCAUUAGAUAGUUGGCGGGGUAACGGCCCACCAAGUCGACGAUGGGUAGCCGGACUGAGAGGUUGGCCGGCCACACUGGAACUGAGAAACGGUCCAGACUCCUACGGGAGGCAGCAGUGGGGAAUAUUGGGCAAUGGGGGAAACCCUGACCCAGCAACGCCGCGUGAGGGAAGAAGGUUUUCGGAUUGUAAACCUCUGUCUUAUGGGAAGAAGGAAGUGACGGUACCAUAAGAGGAAGCCCCGGCUAACUACGUG
rnacentral:rRNA from 1 species